UUGGGGUUGGAAUGGAACUUGGCACCGUUUUUUUACAUUUAUGUUUUUGGUGAGAUUAUUUUUAACAAAAAUAGCCAAAUCUUAUCAGUGUGGUGGUCAUCUUGGUUAGGAACAAACGUGGACAUCUUGCAGGUUGUUCUGACAGUUGCGAUAGGAUAGUGAUGUUACUGAGUUGGCAGAUCCUAUGACCUUAUAUUUCCCAUUUUUUUAUUGCCUCACCUUUCAAAAAUUUUUCGGCAGGAUUCUGUUUUUACGGAAUCCGAGAUUUUUGCAUAGUUUUAGUCAUAUUAGUAGUAAUAAAUCGGAAUAUAAAUCAAUCGCGAAAACGGCUAGUAGCUAUAUGAAAAAGUACUUAUCACAACCAAGUAUCGAUACCUGUGCGCAACGCCAUCUUGAAAGUGAUAGUGUCUUACGCCACACUUUCAAGAUGUAUAAUUGACCG
rnacentral:lncRNA from 1 species